ensembl:lncRNA
GAACAAAGGUACAAGAGCAGGUUAAUGUUGAGGAUAAGUUUAACUGAGAGCAGAACACUGACUCACUCUUACCUGCCUUCCCAUAGUAACACUGCUGUCCACUAAAGCAGCAGUUGAUAGCUUCACAUUCAGCACUACUGAUACCAGGCUGUCCACAUUGGAUCUGCUCAUAAUCAGCUACAGCACAUUUGUCCAAAGGCUCAGCCUUCGCUACUGGCUUCUGAAUCUGAAGCUUCUGAGGAAACUGCUGAUUAGUCUGUUGAACAGGCUUCUGAAUCUGAAACUUCUGAGGAAACUGCUGAUUAGUCUGUUGAACUGGCUUCUGAAACCACUGCUUCUGAGGAAACUGCUGAUUAGUCUGUUGAACUGGCUUCUGAAACUGCGGCUUCUGAGGAAACUGCUGAUCAGUCUGUUGAACAGGCUUCUGAAUCUGAAGCUUCUGAGGAAACUGCUGAUUAGUCUGUUGAACUGGCUUCUGAAACUGCUGCUUCUGAGGAAACUGCUGAUUAGUCUGUUGAACAGGCUUCUGAAACUGCUGGUCAGUUUGCUGGAGCAUCUGAGCUUGAGGGUUCUGGGGCAGUUUACUCAACUUUGGAAGAGCAUGACAGAAAGCACACAGUGCCAAUACCUGAACCAACCACCAACUUCCAGCCAUUGUCCAACAGCUAAUCACACUAUUGAGAUGCUGCCCUUUAGUCUUUUUGUACUCUACAGAUUUCAGCUAAUCAGCUACAGUCCCUCCCUCUUCAUUAACACUCAUGAUUCUCCAGACUUGCAUUAUUGAUAACUCAAGCAAUUGGGUGAUUCUCAUUGGUUCUUAAGAUUAAAUUCUUAUCUUUUCCAUUUUGAACCUAAAGGCACAAACUUGCUGAAUUCAAAAU